GGAUGAGCCGUGUGGAAUUAUUAAAGGACCCAAAACGCAGGCACUUCUGAUGUGAGGAAGGCACAGAACAAAAACCCUAACAAAUGGCAAACCUUAACAAAAGAUAGAAUAAACAAGCACAUAGAAUAAUGUCUUGAUGCAUUCUCAAUCAUCCAGGAAAGUAAAUCUCCAAAAGUUGAAUCUGUUCAUCUGGACGUAGCGUUUUGUGGGAGAAACGUUUCGUCACUCAUCCAAGUGACUUCUUCAGUCUCAGCUGACUGCAGGUUUCCCCAAAUCUUAUAAACAGUACAUUUGCAUAAUGACUGAAACCAGCCCACUGAGGGAACAAUGGGCUGUGAGGUCAGUUCCUUAAUCAUAAUUAUGCAAAUUCCAUGACCAUUGAUCAACAAUCACUGACCAAAACCCACUGAUCAAACCGGGAUCAGUGGGACCUGAUCAGUGGGAUCAGUGGGACCUGAUCCCGGUUUGAUCAGUGGGACCGGACCUCAUACCACAGGCUGUACCCAGGGGAGUCUACACCAAGUCUGUAUGGUUUACCGAAAAUACAUAAGCAGGGUGCACCUUUAAGACCUAUUGUCUGCAUGAUCAACUCGGUCACCUAUAACAUCUCCAAGUUUCUGGCUUCGAUCCUCUACCCGCUGGUGGGCAGCUCUGAACACCACAUCCAGAACACCCUGGAUUUUGUUGAGAAGGUGAGAGAUGUCAUUAUGGAGGCAGAUGAAACCAUGGUCUCGUACGAUGUUAUAUCUCUCUUCACUUGCAUCCCAGUCACGGAAGCGUUGGAGGUAGUCCGUAAGAGAUUACAGGAUGACACCAACCUCAGCAGCAGGACCACUCUCAGCAUCGACCAAGUGUGUUUGCUUUUGGAACUGUGUCUUCAUUCCACCUACUUCACAUACAAGGGUCAGUUCUACAGGCAGAAACAUGGGUGUGCCAUGGGCUCCCCAGUUUCACCCAUCGUGGCCAAUUUGUACAUGGAAGAAGUGGAAAAGAGGGCGUUGCUAUCCUACCCUGGAACACCGCCAAGUCAUUGGUUCAGGUAUGUGGAUGACACCUGGAUGAAAAUCAAAUCUCAGGACGUACCACAAUUCACGGAUCACAUUAACUCGGUGGACCAACACAUCAAAUUCACCAGGGAGGAUAUGAAAAGUGACAGGUUAGCCUUCUUAGACUGUGAGAUUUCCAUCAGUAAUGGGGGACAUCUAAAAGCUGACGUGUACCGUAAACCUACGCAUACGGAUCAGUAUCUAAGGUUUGACUCUCAUCAUCCACUGGAGCACAAACUGGGUGUCAUCAGGACGCUACAACACAGAGCGAACACCAUCCCCACUGACACAGCGGCCAGGGAGGCAGAAGAACAGCACACCAAGAAGGCCCUGAGUAAAUGUGGUUAUCCCAGCUGGACUUUUGUCAAAGCGGGAAAGGCACCUAAAGAAAGCUCCAGCCGAUCCAGGAGAGAAGGACAACCGCUGCCCAGGCGAAAACCUGUAGUGAUCCCAUAUGUGUCAGGAGUAUCGGAACAGUUGAGACGCAUUUUUUCUAAACACUGGGUCUCUGUGGCUUUUAAACCCCAAAAUACGCUGCGCCAAAAACUGGUCCACCCCAAGGAUUGGGUCCCCCGACACAAACAGAGUAACAUAGUGUACGCUGUUAAGUGCCAGGAGGAUUGCCAGGAUUUAUACAUCGGGGAAACCAAACAACCUCUAGCAAAGCGGAUGGCACAACACAGAAGAGCAACCUCAUCAGGCCAGGACUCUGCAGUCUAUUCACACCUACAGGCCAGUGGACACUCUUUCAACGAUGAGGAUGUACACAUCCUGGACAGGGAGGAACGCUGGUUUGAGCGCGGAGUCAAGGAGGCCAUUUACGUGAAAAGGGAAAGACCAUCUCUGAAUCGAGGAGGGGGCCUAAGGGUACAUCUUUCGCCAUCUUACAAUGCUACUCAUGGCCAUUGAUCAGUGUUCUUUGAUCAGUGGGUUUUGGUCAGUGAUUGUUGAUCAAUGGUCAUGGGAAUUUGCAUAAUUAUGAUUAAGGAACUGACCUCACAGCCCAUUGUUCCCUCAGUGGGCUGGUUUCAGUCAUUAUGCAAAUGUACUGUUUAUAAGAUUUGGGGAAACCUGCAGUCAGCUGAGACUGAAGAAGUCACUUGGAUGAGUGACGAAAUGUUUCUCCCACAAAACGCUACGUCCAGAUGAACAGAUUCAACUUUUGGAGACACAUAGAAUAAUAUAAAGAAACACAAAACACUGAGUCGUCAGACUCAGGACCAUGACACUCCUAUAAUAUUAACUUCAAAAGCUUUUAGUCACUUUGAAAAAUAUGAGGAAAUUUAA
ensembl:lncRNA